UUGCAAACUCGAUCACUGGCUCUGCAUGAUGUUGCAGAAGCAAGGGGAACCAGGUUUGCUAAAGUAAUUAUGGUGAUAGAAGCGUUUUUGCCUCAGAAUUCACAUUUUUUUAGGCACCUCGUUCUAUCCCAAGACAAGA